rnacentral:rRNA from 1 species
AUGCACGCUGACAGAAUGCUUAACACAUGCAAGUCUUUGGCGAAGCUGUGCUUGCACAGCCUAGCCAAGGCGGACGGGUGAGUAACGCGUAAGGAACUUGCCCUGCAGUCAGGGAUAACAGACGGAAACGACUGAUAAGACCUGGUAAAGUCAGGCGGACUCAUGUCCAGCCUGAUGAAAAGAGAUGCUGCAGGAGAGCCUUGCGUCCUAUUAGCUUGUUGGUGGGGUAACGGCCCACCAAGGCGAUGAUAGGUAGCCGGCCUGAGAGGGUGGACGGCCACAAGGGGACUGAGAUACGGCCCUUACUCCUACGGGAGGCAGCAGUGGGGAAUAUUGGACAAUGGGGGCAACCCUGAUCCAGCAAUUCUGUGUGCACGAUGAAGGUUUUCGGAUUGUAAAGUGCUUUCAGCAGGGAAGAAAAAAAUGACGGUACCUGCAGAAGAAGCGACGGCUAAAUACGUG